UGGAUCUGACAGUACACACAACCGCUCACACAACCAAAUCACACCAUGGUCAUCAAUACGAAACUCGGACUGCUUGCCCUCCUCUAAAUUCUGCGCCAUACUCCACAACUCCCCAUCUUCCUUUUGAGCUUCUUUGACCCGCGAGAUAAAAGAGGGCUCCACUCUCAUACCCGCCAAAAGCCCAUCUGAAUCUCGUACAUACAACUCCAACUCAAUCCGCUCCAUAUCCGAAAUAAGCUGAGGUUGUGUAAUAAGGGCUGCUACACUCCCUGAACUCUUUCAGCUAAGAGCAUCUGCAACCACAUUUGCCUUCCCCGGGUGAUACUGAAUUCUAGCAUCAUAAUCUUUUAGAAGCUCCAACCAACGCC
rnacentral:lncRNA from 1 species